GAUUAGAGUUUGAUCCUGGCUCAGAUUGAACGCUGGCGGCAUGCCUUACACAUGCAAGUCGAACGGUAACAGGGAGCUUGCUCCGCUGACGAGUGGCGAACGGGUGAGUAAUGUAUCGGAACGUACCUUUCAGUGGGGGAUAACGUAGCGAAAGUUACGCUAAUACCGCAUAUUCUGUGAGCAGGAAAGCAGGGGAUCGCAAGACCUUGCGCUGAUUGAGCGGCCGAUAUCAGAUUAGCUAGUUGGUGAGGUGAAGGCUCACCAAGGCGACGAUCUGUAGCGGGUCUGAGAGGAUGAUCCGCCACACUGGAACUGAGACACGGUCCAGACUCCUACAGGAGGCAGCAGUGGGGAAUUUUGGACAAUGGGGGCAACCCUGAUCCAGCCAUGCCGCGUGAGUGAAGAAGGCCUUCGGGUUGUAAAGCUCUUUCGGCCGGGAAGAAAUCGCAUGGGUUAAUACCCUGUGCGGAUGACGGUACCGGCAUAAGAAGCACCG
rnacentral:rRNA from 1 species